UACAGAGGUCUCAAGCGUUUGUUCGGAUUCAUUGGGCGUAAAGGGUGCGUAGGCGGCGCGGUAAGUCGGGUGUGAAAUCUCGGGGCUUAACUCCGAAACUGCAUUCGGAUACUGCCGUGCUUGAGGACUGGAGAGGAGACUGGAAUUUACGGUGUAGCGGUGAAAUGCGUAGAUAUCGUAAGGAAGACCAGUGGCGAAGGCGGGUCUCUGGACAGUUCCUGACGCUGAGGCACGAAGGCCAGGGGAGCAAACGGG
rnacentral:rRNA from 1 species